GAGGGUAUAGCUCAGUGGUAGAGUGCAUGCUUAGCAUGCACAGGGUCUUGGGUUUAAUCCCCAAUACCACUG
rnacentral:tRNA from 1 species